AUGGGAGAGGAGAAUGCUGCAUCCGCGAAUAGCGUCACGGUGAACGUGAGGGUAUACAUGCACUGCGACGCCUGCGAAAGAUCGGUGCGCCGCACCAUCAAGAAAAUCGAUGGCGUGGAGACGGUGGAGGUGGACAGGGAGGAGAACAAGGUGAUGGUGACGGGGGAUUUCAAGGCCGAGAAGGUGCUGAGGAAGCUCAAGAAGAAGACCGGGAAGAAGGCGGAGAUUCUGCCUCCGGACCCAGAAGAAGAAAACCAGGAGGAAGAGAAGCAGGAGCCCGACGACGAUGCUUACGCUCCUUACGGUUACGGCCGUCCGGCGCCGGACAUGGACGCCGUUCUAGGCAACGAGUUCCAGAGGCCUCCGCGAUGGGACCUCCAUUAUUUCGACGACGAGAACACGGAAGCGUCUAGGAUCAUGUAG
rnacentral:rRNA from 1 species